CUCCUCCUCUGCUGCAUUCUGCAGGACAGAGAGCUGGGAGCACCUCCUGCACUGCCUCACCAUGGGCACCAGCCUGCCGUCCUGCGUGUCCCUGUGUCUCCUGGGGAUGGGACACAUGGAGGCUGCCAUCACCCAACGUCCAAGACACAAGCUCACAGAGACAGGAAGACAGGUGAAUUUGAGCUGUCGCCAGAAUGACAACCAUGCCUACAUGUACUGGUAUCGACAAGAUCCUGGGCAUGGGCUGAGGCUGCUCCAUUACUCAAAUGGAGAGAGAAGCACUGCAAAAGGAGACAUCCCCGAUGGGUACAGCGUGUCCAGACCACGCACGGAGGAGUUCUCGCUCACUGUGGACUCAGCCACCCCCUCCCACACAGCUGUGUACUGGUGUGCCAGCAGUUUCUCCACAGUGCUGCGGGGCUGCCUCCUCUCUGCACAGAAAAUGUGA